UAAGAGUGAGUGGAGAAGCUUUGGAAUUGUCGUCCACCGAGAGUGCGGAAGCUGUGAGUGAUCACCGAGAGAAAGAAAAUAUUUCUGGUUUCUCCUGUCCAGCUUGCAACCGAGAAAGAGAGAAACGGAGUGUGAAGCUUUCUUACUUUUCCAACCUCAAAACCGUGAAAAAAAAAAAGGUGUGAGUGAGGGAGAGAAAACUUGUUAGAUUCAUUACUUAUUAGAUUCAAUCGAGUGAGAAUGAAGUAAAUAGAAGGAAAAGAGGAUCGGUGCUGUUUGAAGGAGCCGAAGGGAAAAAGCUAGUGCAGUCUGCAAAUUCCAGAUUCUAAGGAAAAAAAAAAAAGAGGGUUUAGCGAGGACGUGGACUUCGAUUUCCAGCUUGACUUUUGAGCUUCACUCUUGGUCGUGACGAUUAAGAAAUCUGAGCUACUUAUAUUUUCUUAUGAAUGUAUUUGAACCUCGUGAUUUCCGCUUUGUGGGUUGUAAUGUGUCUUAGUCUCAAAUAAUGUACUUUUUAUUUUGGAUUGCCACUUGAAGUUGGAAAAGUGUAAACCCUAAUUCCGAUAUCUGGUUUGUAUGUAUAUAUUUGCAUGGUAUGAAUUUACAUGUAUUUAGGAUUGUAUGACUUUACUCCUUGUAAAUACGCGUGAGGUGUUUGAAAGCUGUCGUUUGGUUAUCUUCAAAUGCUGUUAUCUCUGAAGUUAAUGUGAUUUUGGUUAGCAGCCUAUUUGGAGGAAAA